GAGCCGGAAAAAAUAAAGAAAAAGAAAACCCUAGCUCCCUUUCAAUUAUAAAGGGGUAGUUGUUAAAGCAUAAGGAUAAGCCUUCUUCUUCUCAAUGCCGUUCACAGUAGCAGUUGCAGAUUCCACACUGCCUUUUUAUCUCCUUCCAUCUUUUUUUUCAUCUUGAAUCUUUAAGAACUCGUUUUAUAUUAAAGACCACUAUGAGUGGUUAACUUGCUUUCUUUUCCUAGUUGAGAUUUGGUGAACUCCAGUGAUGCAUUUGUGAGAUCGAAUUAAUUUAAUUCAUGUUUUAU
rnacentral:lncRNA from 1 species